rfam:Triticum aestivum genome assembly, contig: Triticum_aestivum_CS42_TGACv1_scaffold_433227_5DL
UAAUUACUCCCUCCGUCCGGAAAUACUUGUCAUCUAAAUGUAUAAAAAGGGAUGUAUCUAGAUGUAUUUUAGUUCUAGAUACAUAUCUUUCUAUCCAUUUUGAUGACAAGUAUUUUCGGACGGAGGGAGUAAUAC